GGGAUUGCCUCAGUAACGGCGAGUGAAGCGGCAACAGCUCAAAUUUGAAAUCUGGCCCCUUCGGGGCCCGAGUUGUAAUUUGUAGAGAGCGUUUCGGGUGAGACCACGGUCUAAGUCCAUUGGAACAUGGCGUCAUAGAGGGUGAGAAUCCCGUAUGCGACCGUGGAUCGAGCCCAUGUGAAGCCUCUUCGACGAGUCGAGUUGUUUGGGAAUGCAGCUCAAAAUGGGUGGUAAAUUUCAUCUAAAGCUAAAUACUGGCUGGAGACCGAUAGCGCACAAGUAGAGUGAUCGAAAGAUGAAAAGCACUUUGGAAAGAGAGUCAAACAGUACGUGAAAUUGUUGAAAGGGAAGCGCUUGCAACCAGACCUGUCCGUAGGUGAUCAGCCGCUGUUCUCAGUGGUGCACUCGCUCUGCGAUCAGGCCAGCAUCGGUUUCGGCGGCCGGAUAAAGGCCUUGGGAAUGUAGCUUCCCUUCGGGGGAGUCUUAUAGCCCUCGGUGCCAUGCGGCCAGCCGGGACCGAGGACCGCGCUUCGGCUAGGAUGCUGGCGUAAUGGUUGUAA
rnacentral:rRNA from 1 species